CCUGAACGUUUAGCAAAAGCCUGCGAGCAGCCUGCAGCCUCACAGGGAACAGCAAAUGCACAAAAAGGCACAAAAAUAAAACAACGUGAAACCUGGAGACCUCUCUGCUAUUCCUAAAAGGAAGGAGAAGCAUUGAGGCUUCCAUCAGACGAGAUGCGUCAGGCAUGCAAACAAAGCCACGCAUACUUUAAGUGGUUUCUUAUUCAGAAGCAUAAAAGUAUAAAUAGUUUAAAUUUUACUUAUUUUUACUGUACGUAUUCUGGUCUACAUCCUGGUCUACAUUCUGUGUUCUGCUCUACAUUCUGGUCUAUAUUUUGUCUACGUUCUGUCCUACGUUCUAUGUUCUGGUCUAUGGUCUGUCUAUGUUCUGGUACCUAUGUUGUAUGUUCUGGUCUAUGUUCUGGUUUACAUUCUAUGUUCUACUCUAUGUUCUGGUCUAUAUUUUGUCUACAUUCUGUCCUACGUUCUGAUCUACAUUCUGGUCUACGUUCUAUGUUCUGGUCUAUGCUCUGGUCUACAUUCUGGUCUAUGUUCUAUCUAUGUUCUAUGUUCUGGUCUAUGUUCUAUCUAUGCUCUAUGUUCUGGUCUAUGUUCUACAGCCUGGUCUAUGUUCUGGUCUACAUUCUGUAUUCUGGUCUAUAUUCUAUGUUCUGAUCUACAUUCUGUCUAUGUUCUGGUUUAUGUUCUGGUCUAUAUUUUGUCUACAUUCUGUCCUACCUUCUAUCCUAUGUUCUGGUCUAUGUUCUGUGUUCUAUGUUCUGGUCUACGUUCUACAGUCUGGUCUACGUUCUGGUCCACAUUCCAUGUUCUGGUCUACAUUCUGGUCUACGUUCUAUGUUCUGAUCUAUGUUCUACGUUCUGGUCUACAUUCUAUGUUCUGGUCUAUAUUUUGUCCACAUUCUGUCCUACGUUCCAUCCUACAUUCUAUGUUCUGGUCUACAUUUUGGUCUACAUUCUACGUUUUGGUCUACGCUCUGUCUAUGUUCUGGUCCACACUCCAUGUUCUGGUCUAUGUCCCGUCCUGGCCUACUUCCCCUGGCACGAGUAUUUCAGACAGAACAACUCUGACACCAGGAAGAAACCACAGCAGAAUGCAAACUGUGUUUUUUGUUUGUUUUUUUUACAGCAGAAAGCACAGACACGCAGCUCUUCCUAUCUGGCUUUCAGCUGUACAUUAACGAUGUGUCCCAGAGCAUCUCCAAAGCACAGACAGAGCCUCCGUACCAUACCAGCUCCUCUGAACCCAGCCUGGGUUCGGUUCCCACACAGGCGCUGCAGAAAGCAAUGCUAUCCGUGCCAGCAACUGCUACGCCAAUCUUACAGCUCUUCCCCCCAGAAACACACAGGGAGAUGUGACCAAGACUUUCACAUGCGUGUGCACGUUCCUAGGAGUUCAUUCUUUACCCUCACCCAAAGCUGUCCAGCCACGCUCACUGCGCCAGAGCCAGACUUACAAACAGAUCAGCCAGUCAGGCUCCAGAACUCGUUCUCUGUUCUUGUUUAUGAAAUAUAGAUAUUUUGCCAAUAUGAAGCAUUAAUAUAUGGUUAAAACAUUCACUCCUAAAGAGAACUCAACAGCCACCGCGCAAAGCCCAGGUGACGCCAAAAUUACUGUUUCCUACGGGAGAGAUGAAUGGGGGAAGAAGUGGAAACCUCUGCUAAAAGCUCC
rnacentral:lncRNA from 1 species